rnacentral:misc_RNA from 1 species
GAAAAAUUAUUUUAUUUUAUUAAUAUUUCUGUAAUUCCGUAAUUUUCUGAAAAUACCGUCACAAGACUCUUUAUCGCCUCUGCAAAGCCUCUGCAAAGCAUACAUUUCAGAGGUCAAAAAAAAUAAGUGGCUACACCUUCCCCAACCUAGAAACCCUAGGUGCAAAGAGAAAAGCACAAACAAAACACAAGAGCUCAUCGCCAACCACCUUCCAACUCUGAGCAGAGAUCCAAGCCAGCCCACCGCCAACUCUACAUAGAGCAAUCAUUGUCGCCCAUCAAUGCACAGCCGCUCACCCAAUAGUGCCAACCUCCAUUUUUCUCCACAAAAACACACAACUCAGCUCAACUAUGAUCAGAAAAUGAUACCAUGGAGCUCUCUAGCUCCCGUAGGCUAUCGGGACAACCUUUCUUGCUGUGUUGUAAAAGCAAAUCCUGCAGUUUCAUAAUAGCCAAAGCAAGAAUGUCCUCCUACCGCACAAAGCAAACAUCUAGAUCUAGAGUUCAGAAGCUGAUCCAGGAGAGUAAACCAAAGCAAACUUCGAUCUAACACUCCCACAAAAGCAGAUUUUCUCUAACAUCACCCUCUCCAUGCACAAGCCCAGACCUGCUACUCCAACAACUAAAAGUCAAAACUAUACGAUCCAAAUCUGGAAGAGGAGGAGACCAAAAUCAAACUGAAGAAACACCUUCCCCUUGCUUUGAAAGGACUAAGCUCGGUAAAACCCGAGAGACGACGAAAGGUAGACAUCUCCUUUAGAGAGAACCUUCGAGACAAGUGGAGUAAUUUUAUUACACAUUUGAUAGAUUUGCUAAUAAUUUUUCGUUUCCUCUAUAAUGAAAUUAUAUUUUUCCCAAUAAAAAUCAUUAAUU